UAUGUAUUACGUCUUUUCUUGUGAAGGUUAUCAACAAACAAAGGCUACUAUACAUCACACCUCUAUAUAAACAAUAUCUCACAGUCAGACGCUGGUAGAUUCACUUGCCGUGCCACUGGUCAUCGUAAGAAGAUUCUCGAGGAAGAGCACUUUUAUCUGAAUGUAUACCAAUCAAUCAUCUACGUUGAUUGUCCAACGGUUCAAAUCCUGAGAAAAAACAGUUCCGGCCUGAUAAGAUGCGUGGUUGAUGCCACCCCUGCCGUGGUGGUGUCUUGGCGGUUAAAAGGACGCUAUAUAUACGAUGGACCCACCUAUGCUCAAGAACGAAAUGGUCUCAGAAUAUUGAACGUGACCGCUGAAGAUGCUGGUAUCUACACAUGUAUAUCAGAAGUGACCUCUUUGGGGAACUUUCGAACUCGAGACAUCACAGUUAGAGUCAUAGCUCCUAAGGGGACCAGCGAUGAAGUUAGACGGUGAACGUUUGUACCAGCCCGCUAUGACAAAGAAUAGUGUAUCUUCUGGAUGGCCAUAAACAGCUUGCCUGCCGCCGACAUCACAACUGAAUCAUGUCAUCUGUCCAUGUUAUCUACUUUCAAUAUCACAUAGAACAGUCUUCAACAAUUUAAUGACAUUUCGUGAGUGUGUAUACAUAAUAUACACGCACAUAUUUAAGAAAUAUAAUAUACAUUACACACAGACACACACAUAUAAAGAUACAUAUGAAUAUAUAUACAUAUAAGAGGAAUGACCACUAAGUGGAUUCCUAAUAUGUUAAAUGUAGACCCCAUAUGAUCUGACCACAAAAAAAAUUGUGUAUAUAAAUAUACAUAUCUGUAUCUGUAUAUAUAUAUAUAUAUAUAUAUAUAUAUAUGUUUAUGCAUACAUGUAUGUAUAAAAAACUUUUAUAUUUUUCUCAAUGUAUAUCAGUAAUUUUUAUGUCCAUAAUCCUUAUUGGCUCAUAUAUA